UGACGUCACGCGUUCUUCCAGAAGUUCACAUUCAAACACGAGGAGCGAUUACGAGGGAGUUUUGUCUAUAUAUCAUUCAAAAUCUACUGUUGGGAAAAGCAGAACCUCAUCCAAAUAAAAAUAAACAAGCUGUUAAAGGCACUGUGUCCUACACAGACCCUCCAAAAUAUAACCACCCAAAAAGUCAGUUGAAGGUCAACACAAACCAAAUAAAGAUGUGCAUUCUACAAACAAUAAAAAAAGAUCAAGUUUUGUGUCCACCACACUUAGAUGAGGCGUGCCCGACCCCUGACUUUGUCUACCCUACAUUAAGUUGCACACUUCAUGACAGUAAACAUCGGUAUCACAAUGGUGUGAUUGAUCUAUACCCUAGAAUAAGCUGUGACACUAUGAGACGUGAGGUAACACAACGAAAAAAUUACCGGAUGGAGACUACCUGAUUCUUCACCUAUGGCCUCAGCUUCAAAUGCAACAUGUCCAGCAACUGUCUGAGUUGGUGGAUAUUCUGUCAGAGACUGCGUGAACAACGUUAUGAACAGAAUGAUGUCAAAUUGUCUAAUGGCAAAGUUCAAUAUGAGGGGUGGUGGACAUCUGGAAAAGAAGUCUUUUAAAGGCACACCUUUGUAUUAUGUUAUUCAAGAUGCUGUGAAGAGGUGGAGCCCAAAUGCCACAGACUCGGAAAUAGAUGCAGCUAUGGCAGACCACCUCAAGCACGCUCCAGGAAGAGCUGGGGGUGGUGGAUACAAAAAAGCCAAACAGCUGUGAUGUGUUAAAGAGAGAGUUCACCAAAAAAAGGAAAAUUGUUAUAAUUUUCUUAUCCACAUGUUUCAAACCUGUAUACCUUUAUAUUUUCUGCUGAACACAAAGAUUGAAGAAUGUUUGUAACUUCACAACCAAUUAACUGUCAAUAUUUUUUUUACAAUUGUAGUAAUGGGUUGUGGGAUCUGCUUUGUUAAAAACAUUCUUUCACAUAUCUUUGUGUUCAGCAGAACAUAGAAGGGUAUACAGGUUUGAAACAUGAGAGGGAAUAAAUGACUAAAUAUUAAUUUUUGGGUGAACUAUCCCUUUAUAGAAAGUGUUUUGAAGUUGUUAUUAUAGUUAAAUGGUUAAAAAAAAUAAAAAGUGCUAAAUCAGAA